CCUACGGGCGGCAGCAGUGGGGAAUAUUGCACAAUGGGGGAAACCCUGAUGCAGCGACGCCGCGUGAGUGAAGAAGUAUCUCGGUACGUAAAGCUCUAUCAUCAGGGAAGAUAAUGACGGUACCUGACCAAGAAGCCCCGGCUAACUACGUGCCAGCAGCCGCGGUAAUACGGAGGGGGCAAGCGUUAUCCGGAUUUACUGGGGGUAAAGGGAGCGUAGACGGUAGCGCAAGUCAGGUGUGAAAUCCCAGGGCUUAACCACAGAACUGCUUUUGAAACUGUUCUGCUGGAGUGCAGGAGGGGUAGGCGGAAUUCGUGGUGUAGCGGUGAAAUGCGUAGAUAUUAGGAGGAACACCGGUGGCGAAGGCGGCUUACUAGACUGUAACUGACGUUGAGGCUCGAAAGCGUGGGGAGCAAACAGGAUUAGAUACCCUAGUAGUC
rnacentral:rRNA from 1 species